rnacentral:rRNA from 1 species
UACGUAGGGGGCUAGCGUUGUCCGGAAUCAUUGGGCGUAAAGCGCGUGUAGGCGGUUCGGUAAGUCCGCUGUGAAAGUCGAGGGCUCAACCCUCGAAAGCCGGUGGAUACUGUCGGGCUAGAGUGCGGAAGAGGCGAGUGGAAUUCCUGGUGUAGCGGUGAAAUGCGCAGAGAUCGGGAGGAACACCCGUGGCGAAGGCGGCCAACUGGGAUACACCUGACGCUGAGGCACGAAGGCGUGGGGAGCGAACGGG